UCGGCCCGACCCUCCGUCCGCAGGGUCGAAACCAAGAGCGCCCGGGGGCGGCUAAGUUUAGCCGCCUCAGCGUGCCUAAAAGCAAAAUAACCUUGAUGCCGUUUUUGGGUGCGUGUUUUUGUCUCUGACACUGCACAUUCCAGAAUGAAGGAUUUAUCUCUAAAUCACUGCGUGGCCACUUUGGAAACAAAACCAUUGGCCGCACGUAACUGAAACGAUGGCUAGUCGGUGGGAAAGCGCGGAGGAAAACUGGCCGCGGGUGAAGUUUGUCAACAGAUGCCACCACAGUCCGUCUGGGUACGAACUGAGAGUCCACGGUACAGCAGAGCAACCUACACACAUUGCAAUGACAUUGAUUGCUCGCCCCGACACAUCCCUGAGAAUCUCCUCUGAGGUGAAACAAAACCCACCGUGGAUGGACAAAAGACGCUUGAUUCGAUUUAUGAAUUCGAUCAGUUUCCCAGAUGAAUCAGAACACAGAACUCCCAUUGGGUUGUUGUUAGGAUCCCAGUGACACGCUGGAGGUGUGUAAUCAGCUAGUUCCCACAGACACCAUCUAAUACCGC
rnacentral:lncRNA from 1 species